rnacentral:rRNA from 1 species
GAUGAAUGCUGGCGGCGUGCCUAAUACAUGCAAGUCGAGCGAACGGACGAGAGGCUUGCUUCUCUGAUGUUAGCGGCGGACGGGUGAGUAACACGUGGAUAACCUACCUAUAAGACUGGGAUAACUUCGGGAAACCGGAGCUAAUACCGGAUAAUAUUUUGAACCGCAUGGUUCAAAAGUGAAAGACGGUCUUGCUGUCACUUAUAGAUGGAUCCGCGCUGCAUUAGCUAGUUGGUAAGGUAACGGCUUACCAAGGCAACGAUGCAUAGCCGACCUGAGAGGGUGAUAGGCCACACUGGAACUGAGACACGGUCCAGACUCCUACGGGAGGCAGCAGUAGGGAAUCUUCCGCAAUGGGCGAAAGCCUGACGGAGCAACGCCGCGUGAGUGAUGAAGGUCUUCGGAUCGUAAAACUCUGUUAUUAGGGAAGAACUUAUGUGUAAGUAACUGUGCACAUCUUGACGGUACCUAAUCAGAAAGCCACGGCUAACUACGUG